UACGGAGGAUGCAAGCGUUAUCCGGAAUGAUUGGGCGUAAAGCGUCCGCAGGUGGCUAUGUAAGUCUGCUGUUAAAGAGUGAGGCUCAACCUCAUAAGAGCAGUGGAAACUACAUGGCUAGAGUGCGUUCGGGGCAGAGGGAAUUCCUGGUGUAGCGGUGAAAUGCGUAGAGAUCGGGAGGAACACCGGCGGCGAAGGCGGCUGCCUGGACCGGCCCUGACGCUGAGGCGCGAAAGCUAGGGGAGCAAACAGG
rnacentral:rRNA from 1 species